CAGAGUUGAGAACUGAAGCACACAGACACAAAUCAUUUUGGAUGACACAGCUGUCUGAUUCUCAAACAAGUCACAUUCUCCAAGUGCUGUCUUUCCAGGGGCACAUUGACUGGGAGGUGAAGAGGAGAGUCGCAGCGGCUCCGGCGCUGAGUAGAGCAGCCGCGCAUCCCUCUGCCCUUCCUCCGCCGGCGCAUCCCUCUGCCUUCCUCCGGCGCAUCCCUCUGCUCUUCUUCCUCCUGCGCAUCCCUCUGCUCUUCUUCCUCCUGCGCAUCCCUCCGUUUCCUCCUCCGGAGCCCUGGCCGCCGGCAGCGGGACGGGCUCUGAGCCGGGUGGCAGCUCCAGGCGGCCCCAGAGCCGCAGCCCUCCGCCGUGCGCCACAGAACGCCCGGCAGGUUCGGUGAGGUCCCCGGCAGCGAGCAGUGCAGCGGGACAGGCUGCGCUCCGAGCGGGGACCGG
rnacentral:lncRNA from 12 species